UCCGCCUGGCCGGAUGGGGCUUGCGGUCCACCUUUCAUUUCUACAGGGCUAAGCGUAGUUGGAGACCCUCCUCCAACAGGGAACAGCGCCGACCACAGGUAGCUCCCUUGCAUCGCGGACCAACCUCGCGCAAGCCCCGCCCCUCAGUCAGGAGGUACACUGCGCACGCGCGGUAUCCUAGGCCCCGCCUACACCCCGUCAGCUCCGCCCACUUGGAGGCCUGCUCUGAGUCUCGGUCGCGCGCGGAUCCUGGGGGAAGUGAACUCCCGAGUCGGGCGGGACAGCGGAGUCCAAGCAGCCUCUCCCCCGCCACGGCCCCAACCAAGCCCCGCCCCACCUACCGUGAGCCGCUGCGGGAGCUCCCCCUCCAGGUGGGAACCAGGGACUUGAACCCGGGUCCUUAUGCACUGCAACAUGUGUGCUCAACCAGAUAAACAAGCAUGAAUUAAAAGCACCUAUUUGUCAAAGAUGUGCUGUUCACACCAGUGAGCAGAGAAGGCUGCAGCCGGAGCCCCCAGCAACUCCUCCUCCCACCUGUGCUCGGUGUCGCUGGAGUUUCCCGAAGCCACCGGGGCAGCAACAAGGCCAUGAAGACGGAGAAGCCCACGUUGAAGAUGUUUCGGCCAGAGUCAGUGUCAGCCAAGUGGAAGCUGGAGAAGCCGAGCAAGAGACAGCACAACACUGGAGCUUCCCAUGUGAUGCCAGGGCUGGAAGCCAGUUCCUUUCCCUAGCAAGAGAAGACCCACAUACCUGACAGAGGCUCCCUGUGCCCAGAUUGGGGAAGCUGGAGGCAGCACCCAGAGGACUCCCCAGCAGCCCAGCCAACAUGCUGCCCAGCCCUUCCAGGCUCAGCCCCCGAUUGCAGGCAUG